GAUGAACGCUGGCGGCGUGCCUAAUACAUGCAAGUCGAGCGAACGGACGAGAAGCUUGCUUCUCUGAUGUUAUCGGCGGACGGGUGCGUCACACAUGGAUAACCUACCUAUCAGACUGGGAUAACUUCGGGAAACCGUAGCUUAUACCGGAUAAUAUUUUGAACCGCAUGGUUCAAAAGUAAAAGACGGUCUUGCUGUCACUUAUAGAUGGAUCCGCGCUGCAUUAGCUAGUUGGUAAGGUAACGGCUUACCAAGGCAACGAUGCAUAGCCGACCUGAAAGGGUGGUCGGAUAGCCGGGAUGUGAGAAAGGGUCCAGACUCCUGCGGGAGGAAGCAGUAGGGAAUCUUCCGCAAUGGGGGAAAGCCUGACGGAGCAAAGCGGCGGGAGGGAUGAAGGUCUUAGGAUCGUAGAACUCUGUUAGUAGGGAAGAAGAUAUGUGUAAGUAACUGUGCACAUCUUGACGGUACCGAAACAGAAAGCCACGGCUAACUACGUG
rnacentral:rRNA from 1 species